AAGGGAGCGUAGACGGCAAAGCAAGUCUGAAGUGAAAGCCCCGGGCUCAACCCGGGAAUUGCUUUGGAAACUGUUUAGCUAGAGUGCAGGAGAGGUAAGCGGAAUUCCUAGUGUAGCGGUGAAAUGCGUAGAUAUUAGGAGGAACACCGGCGGCGAAGGCGGCUUACUGGACUGUAACUGACGUUGAGGCUCGAAAGCGUGGGGAGCAAACAGGAUUAGAUACCCUGGUAGUCCACGCUGUAAAC
rnacentral:rRNA from 1 species